UACAGAGGUCUCAAGCGUUGUUCGGAUUCAUUGGGCGUAAAGGGUGCGUAGGUGGCGCGUUAAGUCAGGUGUGAAAUUUCGGAGCUUAACUCCGAAACUGCAUUUGAUACUGGCGUGCUUGAGGACUGGAGAGGAGACUGGAAUUCAUGGUGUAGCAGUGAAAUGCGUAGAGAUCAUGAGGAAGACCAGUGGCGAAGGCGGGUCUCUGGACAGUUCCUGACACUGAGGCACGGAAGGCCAGGGGAGCAAACGGG
rnacentral:rRNA from 1 species